AGCGAACGCUGGCGGCAGGCCUAACACAUGCAAGUCGAACGAAGUCUUCGGACUUAGUGGCGGACGGGUGAGUAACACGUGGGAACGUGCCUUUAGGUUCGGAAUAACUCACGGAAACUUGUGCUAAUACCCAAUGUGCCCUUCGGGGGAAAGAUUUAUCGCCUUUAGAGCGGCCCGCGACUGAUUAGCUAGUUGGUGAGGUAAAGGCUCACCAAGGCUACGAUCAGUAGCUGGUCUGAGAGGAUGACCAGCCACAUUGGGACUGAGACACGGCCAAAACUCCUACGGGAGGCAGCAGUGGGGAAUCUUGCGCAAUGGGCGAAAGCCUGACGCAGCCAUGCCGCGUGGAUGACGAAGGUCUUAGGAUUGUAAAAUCCUUUCACCGGUGAAGAUAAUGACUGUAGCCGGAGAAGAAGCCCCGGCUAACUUCGUGCCAGCAGCCGCCGUAAAAC
rnacentral:rRNA from 1 species